UGUAAAGGUGCAUGAGUGGUGUUUGGUUUGUUACGGGUGGUUGGCUAUUUGCUUGCGCAACAACUUCUACCUGGCAUACCUCUUCAGUCUUGUGUCAAUGCUUUUAUUGCAUUGAAUGCAUGAUGGGUUUCUUGUGUUGCAUGCCUAAUUAAUGGUAUCACUUUGAUGAAUUGGUUUUCCUUUCGUCUGGCAUUGCCUAUGCGAUGUGAGAUGAACCUUGAAGCAGCCUUUGUGAUCCACUCUUUUGAUGCAUACGCAUUGAUUUUGUGGCUCAUUGAGUGUUGCUCGGUCUCAUGGAUACAGAACCUGGUGUGGGCAUGGAAUCUUAAUGGUUCCUUGUUUGCCCUAGUUUAGCUUUUCUAAAACGAUUGUCU
rnacentral:misc_RNA from 1 species